rnacentral:rRNA from 1 species
AGGGUUUGAUUAUGGCUCAGGAUGAACGCUGGCGGCGUGCUUAACACAUGCAAGUCGAACGAACCUUCGGGUUAGUGGCGGACGGGUGAGUAACGCGUGGGAAUCUGCCCUCAGGAGGGGGAUAACGGUUGGAAACGACCGCUAAUACCCCAUAUGCCGAGAGGUGAAAUGAAUUUCGCCUGAGGAUGAGCCCGCGUCUGAUUAGCUUGUUGGUGAGGUAAUGGCUCACCAAGGCUUCGAUCAGUAGCUGGUCUGAGAGGAUGAUCAGCCACACUGGGACUGAGACACGGCCCAGACUCCUACGGGAGGCAGCAGUGGGGAAUUUUCCGCAAUGGGCGAAAGCCUGACGGAGCAACGCCGCGUGAGGGACGAAGGCCUCUGGGCUGUAAACCUCUUUUCUCAAGGAAGAAGAUAUGACGGUACUUGAGGAAUAAGCCACGGCUAAUUCCGUGCCAGCCGCCGCGGUAAUAC